rnacentral:rRNA from 1 species
AUUGAACGCUGGCGGCAGGCCUAACACACGCAAGUCGAGCGGAGCGGCGGACGGGCGAGUAAUGCCUAGGAAUUUGCCUGGUAGUGGGCGAUAACGCCCGGAAACAGGCGCCAAUACCGCCUACUCUCACAUGAGCUUAGGUCGUAUUAGCUAGUUGGGGGGGUAAAGGCUUACCAAGGCGACGAUCCGUAGCUGGACUGAGAGCAAGAUCAGUCACACUGGAACUGAGACACGGUCCAGACUCCUACGGGAGGCAGCAUUAGGGAAUAUUGGACAAUGGGCGAAAGCCUGAUCCAGCCAUGCCGCGUGUGUGAAGAAGGUCUUCGGAUUGUAAAGCCCUUUAGGUUGAGAAGCGUUACCCACAGAGUAAGCACCGGCUAACUUCGUGCCAGCAGCCGCGGUAAUAC